CGGGACGCUGCAGCAGUGGGGAAUAUUGCACAAUGGGCGCAAGCCUGAUGCAGCCAUGCCGCGUGUAUGAAGAAGGCCUUCGGGUUGUAAAGUACUUUCAGCGGGGAGGAAGGGAGUAAAGUUAAUACCUUUGCUCAUUGACGUUACCCGCAGAAGAAGCACCGGCUAACUCCGUGCCAGCAGCCGCGGUAAUACGGAGGGUGCAAGCGUUAAUCGGAAUUACUGGGCGUAAAGCGCACGCAGGCGGUUUGUUAAGUCAGAUGUGAAAUCCCCGGGCUCAACCUGGGAACUGCAUCUGAUACUGGCAAGCUUGAGUCUCGUAGAGGGGGGUAGAAUUCCAGGUGUAGCGGUGAAAUGCGUAGAGAUCUGGAGGAAUACCGGUGGCGAAGGCGGCCCCCUGGACGAAGACUGACGCUCAGGUGCGAAAGCGUGGGGAGCAAACAGGAUUAGAUACCCUUGUACUC
rnacentral:rRNA from 1 species